AAAAAACACUUUUUCCCUUGAAAGAAUUGUACUAUGGCAUUGACUACAUAUUAUAUUUGCUUACAUUAGAUGAAAGAAAUUGAGGCAUGAAGUGAUUAUUAACUCGGUUUUGAUCUGUAUUGUGUUUAGAAGCAGUACUGCCCUGUUGUACAUCCAUUGGACUUAAAGUGUGACCCUGAUCCAGGGCAAACAGAUUUACUUGAAUGAUUCUUUGAAGAUUCAUUUCUCGCAUCUCUUCAUCUAUAAAAUGAGGUUGAUGAAACCUGCUCGCCUCACAGUGCUGCUAAAUUCCCACCCAGGUGAAUUUGCUGGGAAUGCAU
rnacentral:lncRNA from 1 species